AAUGUUUUAAUAUUAUCUGUACUCCUUUUUCUUUUCUUCCAAAUAUUGUCUUUACUCUAUGUCAGAUUUAGGAAAAUUACCGUAAAAAUUGUUAACAAUUAUUAGUAUUCAAGAAACAGUUAGGUUUAAUAUUUUUCAAAGGUGCGUCGGAUUUAGUUCAAUUUGAUUCAAUCUUUUAACUCAUAAAUAUAUCACUUUAAAAAACAUACGUAUUUUGGGUUGUUCAGGGAAAUUAAUUAGCAUCAAUGAGUGUUAAAUGGUCUAGGGUACUAUUAUUCAGUAAAUACUUAUGUAUAAUAUGUUUUGAGGGUUAAAAUGUAGCAAGGGUUAUAUAUGAAUUCUUCCUAAAAUUUUGGAAGAUAUAGGUCAAUGUGUAAUUAACAUAUACUCAAGAUCGGCCCUCCAAAAAUGGUCAGUUUGAAUACAAUUUAGUUUCAGUUCAGUUUUUUAUUGACAAAAGUAAAAAUCACAUUAAAAUUUUUGGUUUGGAUAUUCAGUUUUAGUUUUACUGGUUUUAACUGAAAUUUAUAUUUUAUUUGAUCUAAGAUCUUAUGAAUUAUAAUUCACUUGUUAGAAUUUUUGGGUUAUUAUGAUCUUAAUGAAUUUGAUUUCUUAUUGUAAAAAAAUUGGUUAUCAAUUGUAUUUUUUACUAAUACUUG
rnacentral:lncRNA from 1 species